GCUCCAAUAGCGUAUAUUAAAGUUGUUGCAGUUAAAAAGCUCGUAGUUGAAUUUCGGGGUCAGUAGGUCGGUCGUGCCACUGGUAUGAACUGGUUUUACUGAUUCCUCCCUCUUGAAGAACUGUAAUGCCAUUAAUUUGGUGUUGCAGGGAAUCAGGACUGUUACUUUGAAAAAAUUAGAGUGUUUAAAGCAGGCUUUAGCUUGAAUACAUUAGCAUGGAAUAAUGAAAUAGGACGUUUGAUCCUAUUUUGUUGGUUUCUAGGAUUGACGUAAUGAUUAAUAGGGAUAGUUGGGGGCAUUAGUAUUCAAUUGUCAGAGGUGAAAUUCUUGGAUUUAUUGAAGACUAACUACUGCGAAAGCAUUUGCCAAGGAUGUUUUCAUUAAUCAAGAACGAAAGUUAGGGGAUCGAAGACGAUCAGAUACCGUCGUAGUCUUAACCAUAAACUAUGCCGACUAGGGAUUGGAUGAUGUUAAUUUUUUAAUGACUCAUUC
rnacentral:rRNA from 1 species